rnacentral:rRNA from 1 species
CCUACGGGUGGCAGCAGUGGGGAAUAUUGCACAAUGGGCACAAGCCUGAUGCAGCCAUGCCGCGUGUGUGAAGAAGGCCUUCGGGUUGUAAAGCACUUUCAGCGGGGAGGAAGGCGGUGAGGUUAAUAACCUCAUCGAUUGACGUUACCCGCAGAAGAAGCACCGGCUAACUCCGUGCCAGCAGCCGCGGUAAUACGGAGGGUGCAAGCGUUAAUCGGAAUUACUGGGCGUAAAGCGCACGCAGGCGGUCUGUCAAGUCGGAUGUGAAAUCCCCGGGCUCAACCUGGGAACUGCAUUCGAAACUGGCAGGCUAGAGUCUUGUAGAAGGGGGUAGAAUUCCAGGUGUAGCGGUGAAAUGCGUAGAGAUCUGGAGGAAUACCGGUGGCGAAGGCGGCCCCCUGGACAAAGACUGACGCUCAGGUGCGAAAGCGUGGGGAGCAAACAGGAUUAGAUACCCCAGUAGUC